rnacentral:misc_RNA from 1 species
AGUUUCAGCAGGGUUGAUCAACUGAAAUGGCAAAGUGGAGGAAGGCAAAAGUUAUUAAAUGAUAAACCAAAUUGCAAAGAUAUAAAACAGAGGAAUAUAUUCAUUGCCGCUUCUAUAUUCUUCAAACAAAACCUACAUAAACAAAUGAAUGUUUCUUAAAUAUAAUAUGAGAAGCGUCAUAUCAAUAAGGGGUGAAAGAUAUCUAAAAAUUAGCAAUGAUAAGGGAAAAGAAAUGCCAAGACAUAAAUCAAAUCAGGUGUAUAAAUGAUGAUGAAGGCAAGGUUUUGGUAAAAGAAGAGGAAAUUAAAGAAAGCUGGGGAAACUACUUAUAUAGUCUCUUAAUGGUAGCCACAUAGGCAGCUUUGGAGAUCAUAGUAUUCUAGUGAAGAAAAGAAGGCUAACUACACUUGGAGAAUUUGAACCUCAGAAGUAUGGAUGCUUUAAAGAAGAAAAAGAUGGGUAAAUAUGCCAGUCAGAUGGCAUCCCUAUUAAGUUUGGAAGUGUCUUACGCAAGUAGAAGUUGUGUGCUAACUAAAUUGUUUUAUAAGAUUUAUCAAAGGGAAAAGCCCAAUAAGUAGUUCAGAGCACCUUUGUCCCUUUAUUUAAUAAUACAGAAGAUAUAUAAAGUUACUCAAACUAUAGAGGUAUCAAGCUUGUGAGUCACAGAAUGAAGCUUCACAAGAGUAAUGGAACAUAGAUUAUGAUGAAAUGCAACUAGCUGUCCACCUCUAAUAACCAGUUUUGUUUUAAGAUCAAAUAAGGAAGUAAUUUUUCGAGUAAGAGAUUGAUGGAGAAGUUUGAGAAAAAAUAAAAAAGAAAGAUGCCGUAUGGUUUUUAUCAAUCUAGAGAGAGUUUAUGAAAGAGUUUUCUUAUAGGUGUUCUCUGAUCGCAUUUGGAAUACAUUAGACACAUAAAGGUCUUGAAAGAUACAUACCAAGGGGCAAUCACUGGUAUUUGAACAGUUGGAGGUGACAUAAGAUUUCCCUAAAUGAGUUGGACUGCGGGAUGGCCUAGAGCCCUUGCCUCUUUGCUUGGUUAUGGACAACCUGGAUUGGAGUUAAAAGGGAAGCCAUGGACAUGCACCCUAGAGACUAAAGGCUUCGAGUAGAACUAAACAGAGUAUAAGCAUUGCAAUUUAGCAAUUGACGAGGUUAUAUAAGCAUUGCAAUUUAGCAAUUGAC